UGGGGAAUUUUGGACAAUGGGCGCAAGCCUGAUCCAGCCAUGCCGCGUGCGGGAAGAAGGCCUUCGGGUUAUAAACCGCUUUUGUCAGGGAAGAAAUCUUCUGAGUUAAUACCUCGGGAGGAUGACAGUACCUGAAGAAUAAGCACCGGCUAACUACGUGCCAGCAGCCGCGGUAAUACGUAGGGUGCAAGCGUUAAUCGGAAUUACUGGGCGUAAAGCGUGCGCAGGCGGUUUUGUAAGACAGAGGUGAAAUCCCCGGGCUCAACCUGGGAACCGCCUUUGUGACUGCAAGGCUUGAGUGCGGCAGAGGGGGAUGGAAUUCCGCGUGUAGCAGUGAAAUGCGUAGAUAUGCGGAGGAACACCGAUGGCGAAGGCAAUCCCCUGGGCCUGCACUGACGCUCAUGCACGAAAGCGUGGGGAGCAAUCAGGAUUAGAUACCCUGGUAGUCCACGCCCUAAACGAUGUCAACUGGUUGUUGGGAAGGUUCCUUCUCAGUAACGUAGCUAACGCGUGAAGUUGACCGCCUGGGGAGUACGGCCGCAAGGUU
rnacentral:rRNA from 1 species